AAGUCAUGUUGAGGGGAAUUUCAUAACAUUCCCUUGUAUCGCUCACAUGCUUCGUAUAAUGACUCCCCAUCGAAUUGUUGAAAAUUCUAUAUAUUUUUCUUUAAUUU